UAAUCACAAUCAAAUCAUAAGGUUACAAACAUAGAAAUCAUAUACAAUUAAGAAUAUGAAAAUCUAAAAGGAUGGGGAAUAGAAGAACACCGAGAUUAAUAGUGGUUCCCCCUUUUGUCCUCGUUUUGGGGUACCUCCACUCUUCUUGAUAGAAAUCGUUCCUAUCAAGGACUUCCACUAUUCUUGAAAAAUGUUUACAAACUGUUAUGAUUAUAGAAGAUUCCUUCGAUAACCCUAAUCUUCAAUCCUAAGCAACUACAACACCACCAAUCUUCAAGAACUCUUGAAAUUGGAAAUUCUCUAAGUUUUUGAAAUUCAAGCUCCCUACAAUCUUUGGAAUUCCUUCACCUUAAAUUCUUCUUUGCUAUGUCUGAAGCUUGGAUCCCCUUCAACUUGAAAAGUUAGAAAGACCCCCCCAUAAUUUCCCUUGGAGGUCCCUGUUUUCCUUUAGACCCUUGAUCCUCAAUCAAGUUCCUUGAAAGAAACCAAUGUACAAUUCCUAUAGCACUCUAGCAAUCUAUGACUCAAAAUCCACAAUGAAUCUUAGAAAAAAUGUUAAAUCUGAACAACAAGUGGAGAGAGAGAGAGAGGGCUUUGGAGACUCUAGAAAGUUAUUUGCAUCUGAUUCAGUGAGUUGGAAGGUGUAUAGGUAUAGCUACAUAUAGGCAGGAGUGAUAAGUGCAAUAUUUGUGCCAAAAACAACGACUUGAUUCGAAUCACGUUAAG
rnacentral:lncRNA from 1 species